rnacentral:rRNA from 1 species
CCCGCAACGAGCGCAACCCCUAUUGUUAGUUGCCAUCAUUCAGUUGGGCACUCUAGCGAGACUGCCGGUAAUAAACCGGAGGAAGGUGGGAGUGACGUCAAAUCAUCAUGCCCCUUAUGACCUGGGCUACACACGUGCUACAAUGGUUGGUACAACGAGUUGCGAGUCGGUGACGGCGAGCUAAUCUCUUAAAGCCAAUCUCAGUUCGGAUUGUAGGCUGCAACCUCGCCUACAUGAAGUCGGAAUCGCUAGUAAUCGCGGAUCAGCACGCCGCGGUGAAUACGUUCCCGGGCCUU